UUUUUAAAAAGGUUCCUGCUUUCAGUAGCUGAUACCUAUAAAUUGGCCCACGGCUCAUGCUAGCAGAUAUGCAUAC